rnacentral:rRNA from 1 species
UACGUAGGGGGCUAGCGUUGUCCGGAAUCAUUGGGCGUAAAGAGCGCGUAGGCGGCUAGAUAAGUCCGGUGUGAAAGUCACAGGCUCAACCUGUGAAUGCCGCUGGAAACUGUCUGGCUAGAGUCCGGGAGGGGCGAGUGGAAUUCCUGGUGUAGCGGUGAAAUGCGCAGAUAUUCGCAAGAACACCAGUGGCGAAGGCGGCUCACUGGCCCGGUACUGACGCUGAGGCACGAAAGCGUGGGGAGCAAACAGG